rnacentral:rRNA from 1 species
CCUACGAGAUGCAGCAGUAGGGAAUUUUCGGCAAUGGGGGGAACCCUGACCGAGCAACGCCGCGUGAAGGAAGAAGGAACUAGGUGUGGAAACUUCUGUUAUAAAGGAAGAAAGACGGAUGGAGGAAAUGACAUCCGAGUGACGGUAAGUAAAGAGAAAGCCAUGGCGAACGACGGGCACGCAGCCGCGGUAUUACGUGGGUGGCAGGCGUUAUAUGGAUUUAUUGGGUGUAACGAGGGAGCGGGCGGGAGUAAAGGUCGGUGGUGAAAGAUGGAAACUAAACGUCAGUAAGCCAUAGAGACAGGGCAGCUUGAGUUCAUGAGAGGAUCGCGGAAUUCGAUGUGUAGCGGUGAAAUGCGUAGAUAUAUCGAGGAACUCCGAUGGCGAAGGCGGCGAUCUGGCCUGCAACUGACGCUCAGUCCCGAAAGCGUGGGGAGCAAAUAGGAUUAGAUACCCGUGUAGUC